AUUGAACGCUGGCGGCAGGCUUAACACAUGCAAGUCGAGCGGGGUGAUGGUGCUUGCACUAUCACUUAGCGGCGGACGGGUGAGUAAUGCUUAGGAAUCUGCCUACUAGUGGGGGACAACAUCUCGAAAGGGAUGCUAAUCCCGCAUACGUCCUACGGGAGAAAGCAGGGGAUCACUUGUGACCUUGCGCUAAUAGAUGAGCCUAAGUCGGAUUAGCUAGUUGGUGGGGUAAAGGCCUACCAAGGCGACGAUCUGUAGCGGGUCUGAGAGGAUGAUCCGCCACACUGGGACUGAGACACGGCCCAGACUCCUACGGGAGGCAGCAGUGGGGAAUAUUGGACAAUGGGGGGAACCCUGAUCCAGCCAUGCCGCGUGUGUGAAGAAGGCCUUAUGGUUGUAAAGCACUUUAAGCGAGGAGGAGGCUCUUUUGGUUAAUACCCAGAAUGAUUGGACGUUACUCGCAGAAUAAGCACCGGCUAACUCUGUGCCAGCCGCCGCAGUAA
rnacentral:rRNA from 1 species